AUUGAACGCUGGCGGCAUGCCUUACACAUGCAAGUCGAACGGUAACAGGUCUUCGGAUGCUGACGAGUGGCGAACGGGUGAGUAAUACAUCGGAACGUGCCCGAUCGUGGGGGAUAACGAAGCGAAAGCUUUGCUAAUACCGCAUAAGAUCUACGGAUGAAAGCAGGGGACCGCAAGGCCUUGCGCGAACGGAGCGGCCGAUGGCAGAUUAGGUAGUUGGUGGGAUAAAAGCUUACCAAGCCGACGAUCUGUAGCUGGUCUGAGAGGACGACCAGCCACACUGGGACUGAGACACGGCCCAGACUCCUACGGGAGGCAGCAGUGGGGAAUUUUGGACAAUGGGCGAAAGCCUGAUCCAGCCAUGCCGCGUGCAGGAUGAAGGCCUUCGGGUUGUAAACUGCUUUUGUACGGAACGAAAAGACUCUUUCUAAUAAAGAGGGUCCAUGACGGUACCGUAAGAACAAGCACCGGCUAACUACGUACCAGCCGCCGCCGUAACAC
rnacentral:rRNA from 1 species